rnacentral:pre_miRNA from 1 species
AGGAGGAACAGCCCCAGUGUCGGGGCAGCUCUGGAAACCUGGAUUCAGCUCCGGCAGGAACUCCGUCUGCAGGGCCUGGAGGCUCCGGGGCGCG